CUAGUUAGCUCAAUUGGUAGAGCGCUCCACUGGAAAUGGAGAGGUCCCUGGUCCGGUACCAGGACUAG
rnacentral:tRNA from 1 species